CUACGGGUGGCAGCAGUGAGGAAUAUUGGUCAAUGGACGAGAGUCUGAACCAGCCAAGUAGCGUGAAGGAUGACUGCCCUAUGGGUUGUAAACUUCUUUUAUAUGGGAAUAAAAUGUUCCACGUGUGGGAUUUUGUAUGUACCAUAUGAAUAAGGAUCGGCUAACUCCGUGCCAGCAGCCGCGGUAAUACGGAGGAUGCGAGCGUUAUCCGGGUUUUUUGGGUUUAAAGGGAGCGUAGGUGGGUAGUUAAGUCAGUUGUGAAAGUUUGCGGCUCAACCGUAAAAUUGCAGUUGAAACUGGCAGUCUUGAGUACAGUAGAGGUGGGCGGAAUUCGUGGUGUAGCGGUGAAAUGCUUAGAUAUCACGAAGAACUCCGAUUGCGAAGGCAGCCCACUGGACUGCAACUGACACUGAGGCUCGAAAGUGUGGGUAUCAAACAGGAUUAGAUACCCCAGUAGUC
rnacentral:rRNA from 1 species